rnacentral:rRNA from 1 species
CUAGCCGUAAACGAUGGAUACUAGGCGUUGAGAGGAUCGACCCUCGCAGUGCCGUAGCUAACGCGUUAAGUAUCCCGCCUGGGGAGUACGCGCGCAAGCGUGAAACUCAAAGGAAUUGACGGGGGCCCGCACAAGCGGUGGAGUAUGUGGUUUAAUUCGAUGCAACGCGAAGAACCUUACCAGGGCUUGACAUGUCCGGAACCCUGCCCAAAGGUGGGGGUGCCCAUGGGAGCCGGAACACAGGUGGUGC